AACGAACGCUGGCGGCAGGCCUAACACAUGCAAGUCGAGCGCCCCGCAAGGGGAGCGGCGGACGGGUGAGUAACGCGUGGGAACGUGCCUCUUGCUACGGAAUAGCCUCGGGAAACUGGGAGUAAUACCGUAUGUGCCCUACGGGGGAAAGAUUUAUCGGCAAGAGAUCGGCCCGCGUUGGAUUAGGUAGUUGGUGGGGUAAUGGCCUACCAAGCCGACGAUCCAUAGCUGGUUUGAGAGGAUGAUCAGCCACACUGGGACUGAGACACGGCCCAGACUCCUACGGGAGGCAGCAGUGGGGAAUCUUAGACAAUGGGCGCAAGCCUGAUCCAGCCAUGCCGCGUGAGUGAUGACGGCCCUAGGGUUGUAAAGCUCUUUCGCCAGGGACGAUAAUGACGGUACCUGGAUAAGAAGCCCCGGCUAACUUCGUG
rnacentral:rRNA from 1 species